CCCUUAGAUGUUCUGGGCCGCACGCGCGCUACACUGAUGAAUUCAACGAGCACUAACCUGUGCCGAAAGGUUCGGGUAAUCUUGUGAAAUUUCAUCGUGCUGGGGAUUGAUUAUUGCAAUUUUUAAUCAUAAACGAGGAAUGCCUAGUAAGCGUGAGUCAUCAGCUCACGUUGAUUACGUCCCUGCCCUUUGUACACACCGCCCGUCGCUCCUACCGAUUGAAUGUGCCAGUGAAAAGUUCGGAUUGGAGAUAGGAAACGGCAACGUAUCCUAUUUCCGAGAAAAUCUUUAAACUUUCCCAUUUAGAGGAAGGAGAAGUCGUAACA
rnacentral:rRNA from 1 species